rnacentral:lncRNA from 1 species
CCCUGGCAGAAGAAGUGGAGCCUCCGAAGGCCCAGGCUCGGAUUCUGGUUAGAAGUCGCGUUUGCUGCACUCUCCUCGGAACACUCGCACGUCCCUGCCUCACCCGUUUCUUUCCAUCCUCUGUUUUUGGAUGGCUUCUCCUUUUUUUUUUUUUUCUUGGCCGUGCCCCGAGCUUCGCUCUGCCUGACAGCCCAUCAGCAAUCCCCGCUCUCCCACUACCGGUUGGGGAGCCUCCACCGGGCUCUGCCGCAAAUCGUGCCCUCGGCCCAAGCCACCACAUCUGCCUAGAGGCGGGCAAAAUCCCCUCUCUCCCCCGUACAGACGCUCUCAGACACACUCACACGUUCUUGCUCCCCAUCCUUCCACUGAGGCCCUCCCUUGCCCCUCAUGGAUCCUCUCAUGCUCCCGGCUGCUUCCCGCAGCGCAGCGCGAGCCCAGCCCCUGCCCUGCAGCAGCCCCGCUCCUGUGAACCCGGCAGACCCAUCCUGACAUCUUUAAUAUUCAUAAAAGUCAACCCCAGUCUAAAGAAAACGUGGCUGAUGAUGAAAGUAUUUACAUUGCAAAUCGCUUUUAAUAACCCUCCAGUAGUCAGCUUGCUGAUAAAUGCUAAUCUGUCUAUCAGCCCCCCCAAAAAAUAUAAUAAUAAUAAAAUAAAAAUAAAAAAGAACCCGAAAUGGAGAGGCAGAGAGCUGGGAAGCAGACAGUGACAGUGAGGGGGCCUCAGCCCCAGGCAUCCCUGACCAACUGUGAACUCCUGCUCCUUCUGCAGGUGCAGGAUCAGACACAACAUCUCCAUGUUACACAUCAUCUCACCCGAUUUUAGCCCUCUAAAACGCUGAACACCAGGCAUAGCCAAUUGCUUGAGCCCAUCCAAACCACUUUUGGGGCGGCCCAGAGAUCACACACACCUCGGGAGAGUUAAACCCAGCAGCCUGCCUCCCACCCCGGUGCGCUGCCAUCUCUCCAGUCAAUAAUCAUCUGCUUUUUGUGUUUUAAAAGAUCGCUGCUGCUAUUUUAAGGUUGCACUCAAUUUUGUCACAUUCGCCAUAUAAGCACGACUUGGAAUAUUUCAAUAUAAUUGUUGUGUUGCUGUCCCCAUUCUUGCAACUCUUAUUUGCUUUCUGGGUAAUGGAAGGGGUAAAGUGCUUCUGAAUCACUUCUGUUAUACCUAUUAUAAAAAAAGGGGGGGAGAGGAGUGGAAAUGCGGGCUCGAGCUGUUUCCCCUUGUACCAUAUCACCACGCUGACGGUCCCCAGGCUGUGGCAAUGCCCUGCGCAGAGGCUGGGAGCCCAGGCAGGUCCUGAGCCACAGCUCAGGUUUGGGCAGCGUGACAGAGCCCAGCUUGUGCCACGCACACAGCCUAAUAAAAGUGUGCUUUUACACA